AAGAUACAGGUGAUCAUUCUACAUAUAAUAUAGUAUAUGAGGAAAUCAUUCGAAAAGCAUUCUCAUGAAUUGCUAAUUGAAGUGUACAAUGUUUCCUCAUUCAGUUUUUCCUGAUUGAACGUAACGUCUAAGAUUUAAGAGAUCUUCACUUUAGGAUCCCACAAUACGAUAUUGAAAUGUUUUAAUCUUCUUCUUCUUUAAUACAUACAUGUGCUUGUCUCGCUGACUGAAUUAUUACCAUUUCUAGAAGUCGGAUUGCUUAUCUUUGUUCUGUUUGUAUUGACAGUUAAAUAGGGAUGGAUGACGCAGAGAUAUAGUAUGUGACAAUAGAACUGGAAUGCUAAAGGGGGAGAUUUUUCAUCUAGCCAAUUGAUUACCUUAACUGAAGUCUGCAGGCUUCACCAAAUGCAGAGGACGAGAUUUUAUAGAUUAUGAUUAGAAAGCAGAGGUUGGAUCCGGAAUGAUAGAGCGUAGAAGUUCCAUCAUCAAAUCACAGACUCUUUUGUCCAGUGCCACAUAAACCGACCAUUAAAAAA